AAAUUGAAGAGUUUGAUCAUGGCUCAGAUUGAACGCUGGCGGCAGGCCUAACACAUGCAAGUCGAGCGGAAACGACAACAUUGAUUCUUCGGAGGAUUUGUUGGGCGUCGAGCGGCGGACGGGUGAGUAAUGCCUAGGAAAUUGCCUUGAUGUGGGGGAUAACCAUUGGAAACGAUGGCUAAUACCGCAURAUGCCUACGGGCCAAAGAGGGGGACCUUCGGGCCUCUCGCGUCAAGAUAUGCCUAGGUGGGAUUAGCUAGUUGGUGAGGUAAUGGCUCACCAAGGCGACGAUCCCUAGCUGGUCUGAGAGGAUGAUCAGCCACACUGGAACUGAGACACGGUCCAGACUCCUACGGGAGGCAGCAGUGGGGAAUAUUGCACAAUGGGCGAAAGCCUGAUGCAGCCAUGCCGCGUGUAUGAAGAAGGCCUUCGGGUUGUAAAGUACUUUCAGUUGUGAGGAAGGGUGUGUAGUUAAUARCUGCGCAUCU
rnacentral:rRNA from 1 species